CCUACGGGUGGCAGCAGUGAGGAAUAUUGGUCAAUGGGCGCGAGCCUGAACCAGCCAAGUAGCGUGAAGGAUGACUGCCCUACGGGUUGUAAACUUCUUUUAUAAAGGAAUAAAGUGCGGCACGUGUGCCUUUUUGUAUGUACUUUAUGAAUAAGGAUCGGUUACUCCGUGCCAGCAGCCGCGGUAAUACGGAGGAUCCGGGCGUUAUCCGGAUUUAUUGUGUUUAAAGGGAGGGUGAAUGGGUUGUUACGUCAGGUGUGAAAGUUUGCGGGUCAAACGCAGAAUUGCAAUUGGUACUGGGAGCCUGGAGUACAGGUGAAGUAGGCGGAAUGCGUGGGGUAGCGGUGAAAUGCAUAGAGAUCACGAAGAACUCCGAUUGCGAAGGCAGCCUACAAAACGGUCACGGACAUUGAUGCGCGAAAGUGCGGGUAUCAAACAGGAUUAGAUACCCUGGUAGUC
rnacentral:rRNA from 1 species